rnacentral:rRNA from 1 species
CCUACGGGCGGCUGCAGUGGGGAAUAUUGGACAAUGGGGGCAACCCUGAUCCAGCCAUGCCGCGUGUGUGAAGAAGGCCCUCGGGUUGUAAAGCACUUUCAGUGAGGAAGAACGCCUGGUGGUUAAUACCCAUCAGGAAAGACAUCACUCACAGAAGAAGCACCGGCUAACUCCGUGCCAGCAGCCGCGGUAAUACGGAGGGUGCGAGCGUUAAUCGGAAUUACUGGGCGUAAAGCGCGCGUAGGUGGCUUGAUAAGCCGGUUGUGAAAGCCCCGGGCUCAACCUGGGAACGGCAUCCGGAACUGUCAAGCUAGAGUGCAGGAGAGGAAGGUAGAAUUCCCGGUGUAGCGGUGAAAUGCGUAGAGAUCGGGAGGAAUACCAGUGGCGAAGGCGGCCUUCUGGACUGACACUGACACUGAGGUGCGAAAGCGUGGGUAGCAAGCAGGAUUAGAUACCCUUGUAGUC